rnacentral:lncRNA from 1 species
GUGAUGACUUUCAGAGUGAAAAGAACUAAAGAUCAAUGCUCCUGUCUGGACUGCUAUACACACAUCCAUCCGGCUGAACAAACUGACCCUGAACCAGACCGUGAUUUCAGGUGCUUCGUGUAGAUAUGGAAGACUGAUAGGAAAUGACUGCUGAUUACCUUGGCAUUUCCCUCACAAAGGUGUUUCCACUGACAAGGUGACAAUGCUUAGACUUGAGGUCAUACUAGGAGACCUAGGCUCCAACACGGUCAUCUUUUGUAUUUCAUGGAAAAUCCUCCCAAGUGUACUAUUAUUCCCUGAUCUACGAAGAGAUUUCAUAUGUUGAGCGAACUCAUGUAUUUGCCAUGUAGAAUUCUGCCAGGAUUGUGUUUUUUGCAUGUUUGUCAUUGAUGUAGUAAAUCAAAAUGUUAACAGUGCCUAAUACUUGCUAUUUCAUCUUUAGAGUUAUUUUAUUCUACAUUCUGUUGCUGUCUCCUUCCCAAAUGGCACAAUAUCCCCUACAUAGUGCACUACUUUGUUAGUGGACAAUAUAGGGAAUAGGGUGCCAUUUAGGGUGCAUCCUAUGUGUAUAUUAAAGAUCCAAGGAGAUGGAGAAGUGGAGUAAUAUCUGUAAUGUCAUAGCUACCACAGUUAAUGUGUUCAUUUUGUGAACAUUAGUGAUGUAUCCUUGUAUUGAUGAGCCUGAACACCAGUCUGUUUGUGGUUUCAUGCCAACUCCUUGUCAUGCCAAGUGUCAUACGCAUUGUCAUUGGCUUUACAUGGACCGCCAUGGAGUUGGCAAGAGCACAAACAGAUCUGGAACCAGGCUAUGUAUUGAUGUCCUUAUGAGAACAAAAUUAGUUUUUGCCUUUAUGGUUAAGAGAUAUUUCCAUUAGCUGAAUUCUCACCACUUUACAGUGGACAUGUUCUAAGGUUGCAUAACAAAAAGUUUUAUAUAUUAGCAACAUGCUUUUGAAUGUUGCUUUGUUUAAUGUCUGGUUAUGUAUGUUAUGAGCACAUGAUGAAUAAACUUGACCUUCAAUAUUUAA